rnacentral:rRNA from 1 species
AGAGUUUGAUCAUGGCUCAGAACGAACGCUGGCGGCAGGCUUAACACAUGCAAGUCGAACGCUCGUAGCAAUACGGGAGUGGCAGACGGGUGAGUAACGCGUGGGAACAUACCCUCCGGUUCGGAAUAGCUCAGGGAAACUUGGAUUAAUACCGGAUACGGCUGAGAGGCGAAAGAUUUAUCGCCGGAGGAUUGGCCCGCGUUCGAUUAGCUUGUUGGUGAGGUAACGGCUCACCAAGGCGAUGAUCGAUAGCUGGUCUGAGAGGAUGAUCAGCCACAUUGGGACUGAGACACGGCCCAAACUCCUACGGGAGGCAGCAGUGGGGAAUAUUGGACAAUGGGCGCAAGCCUGAUCCAGCCAUGCCGCGUGAGUGAUGACGGCCUUAGGGUUGUAAAGCUCUUUCGCUCGGGACGAUAAUGACGGUACCGAGAUAAGAAGCCCCGGCUAACUUCGUGCCAGCAGCCGCGGUAAUACGAAGGGGGCUAGCGUUGUUCGGAAUUACUGGGCGUAAAGCGCGUGUAGGCGGGUCUUUAAGUCAGGGGUGAAAUGCCAAGGCUCAACCUUGGAACUGCCUUUGAUACUGGAGAUCUUGAGUCCGGGAGAGGUGAGUGGAAUUGCGAGUGUAGAGGUGAAAUUCGUAGAUAUUCGCAAGAACACCAGUGGCGAAGGCGGCUCACUGGCCCGGAACUGACGCUGAGACGCGAAAGCGUGGGGAGCAAACAGGAUUAGAUACCCCUGUAGUCC